rnacentral:rRNA from 1 species
CCUUACCAUGCAGUCGAACGGCAGCGGGCCCUUCGGGGUGCCGGCGAGUGGCGAACGGGUGAGUAAUGCAUCGGAACGUACCCGGGAGAGGGGGAUAACCGGCCGAAAGGCUGGCUAAUACCGCAUGGACUCGGAAGAGCAAAGCGGGGGACCUUCGGGCCUCGCGCUCUCGGAGCGGCCGAUGUCCAAUUAGGCUAGUUGGUGGGGUAAAGGCCCACCAAGGCGACGAUCGGUAGCGGGUCUGAGAGGACGAUCCGCCACACUGGAACUGAGAGACGGUCCAGACUCCUACGGGAGGCAGCAGUAAGGGAUAUUGCCCAAUGGACGGAAGUCUGAGGCAGCAACGCCGCGUGCGGGAGGACGGCCUUCGGGUUGUAAACCGCUUUUGGAGGGGAAGAGGGAGGACGGUACCCUUCGAAGAAGUCUCGGCUAACUACGUGCCAGCAGCCGCGGUAAAACGUAGGAGGCGAGCGUUAUCCGGAUUUACUGGGUGUAAAGCGCGUGCAGGCGGCGGCGCAAGUCGUGUGUGAAAGCUCCCGGCUCAACCGGGAGAGGACGGACGAGACUGAGCUGCUAGAGGCAGGUAGAGGUGUGUGGAAUUCCGGGUGUAGUGGUGAAAUGCGUAGAGAUCCGGAGGAACACCAGUGGCGAAGGCGGCACACUGGGCCUGGCCUGACGCUCAGACGCGAAAGCAUGGGGAGCGAACGGGAUUAGAAACCCCGGUAGUCCAUGCUGUAAACGAUGCGGACUAGGUGUUGCGGGUUGAAUCCCCUGCAGUGCCGAAGCGAACGUGAUAAGUCCGCCACCUGGGGAGUACGGCCGCAAGGUUAAAACUCAAAGGAAUUGACGGGGGCCCGCACAAGCAGCGGAGCGUGUGGUUUAAUUCGAGGCUACACGAAGAACCUUACCUGGGCUUGACAUGCUGGUGGUAGGGAAGCGAAAGCGGACCGACCUUCGGGAGCCAGCACAGGUGCUGCAUGGCUGUCGUCAGCUCGUGUCGUGAGAUGUUCGGUUAAGUCCGGUAACGAGCGCAACCCUUGCCGUUAGUUACAGGUAUCUAACGGGACUGCCCGUAGGAAGCGGGAGGAAGGUGGGGAUGACGUCAAGUCAGCAUGGCCUUGAUGUCCAGGGCUACACACACGCUACAAUGGCCGGUCCAGAGGGUAGCCAACCUGCGAAGGGGAGCCAAUCCAGGAAAGCCGGUCGUAGUUCGGAUUGCAGGCUGCAACCCGCCUGCAUGAAGUCGGAGUUGCUAGUAAACGCGCAUCAGCCAUGGCGCG